rnacentral:rRNA from 1 species
UACGGAGGGAGCUAGCGUUGUUCGGAAUUACUGGGCGUAAAGCGCACGUAGGCGGCUUUGUAAGUUAGAGGUGAAAGCCCGGGGCUCAACCCCGGAAUUGCCUUUAAGACUGCAUCGCUUGAAUCCGGGAGAGGUGAGUGGAAUUCCGAGUGUAGAGGUGAAAUUCGUAGAUAUUCGGAAGAACACCAGUGGCGAAGGCGGCUCACUGGACCGGCAUUGACGCUGAGGUGCGAAAGCGUGGGGAGCGAUCCGG